CCUCGUGUCCUGGGCUCACUGUCUUCUGAGCGGGACUGGAGUUCUGAGAGGGUGCUCUGCUCCUCCUGUCAUCUCUCCCUUUCCUUCUGAGGCCCAAGGAGGAAGGCAUGCUGCGGGCUCUAGCCCUCCUUCUAGCUUUCCUGGCUCCUGCCACUCAGGCAUCUUCCAACUUGGAAGGGACACAAAUGGCAGUCAUCAAGCCGGCUGGGUCAUCUGUUGUAAUCACUUGUGAUAUUAAACAAAGCCUCACCUAUGUCCACUGGUACCAGUACAAGGAGGGGAUGGCCCCACAACGACUUCUAUACUACCAUUACCAAUACUCAAGGUUGAUGACAGAUCCGGGAAGCAAUUCAGGGAAAUACCAUAUGUAUGGAAGCUCAGAGAAGAAUCGUAAUAUUGAACUCCGAAAUCUGGAAGAAAGUGAUUCUGGUGUGUAUUACUGUGCUGUCUGGGAGAGGCACAGUGAUUCAGACCUCCCCUACACUGCACUGAAAAUUUUGCUUGUGGCUGCCAAGAGCAGCCUUGGCACACACGAUAGACCAGCCUCUGUCUCCCUUCCUGCCCUGACUUCACUGUGCUCUGAACAAAGAGAGACCCUGAGCUCAGUGCCCAACCCCCACCCUUGUAUCCCACUGGCCUCCCUCCUCCCCUGUGAGCCACAGCGCUUUCCUAAAGAUAGAUCUCCCAUCUCCAGGCCUUAGACAAUCAGUCUGGCAGACAGCAUAUUCUUUCAGCUCUCCUAGGAGCUAGUGGAGUCCAUUCAGUCUGCUUCCUGGGACAAACAAUGUCACUU